ACGAAGGGGGCUAGCGUUGUUCGGAAUCACUGGGCGUAAAGGGCGCGUAGGCGGCUUUAUAAGUCGGGGGUGAAAGCCUGUGGCUCAACCACAGAAUUGCCUUCGAUACCGUAGAGCUUGAGACCGGAAGAGGUAAGUGGAACUGCGAGUGUAGAGGUGAAAUUCGUAGAUAUUGGGAAGAACACCGGUGGCGAAGGCGGCGACCUGGUCCUUGACUGACGCUGAGGCGCGAAAGCGUGGGGAGCAAACAGGA
rnacentral:rRNA from 1 species